rnacentral:rRNA from 1 species
GAUGAACGCUAGCGGCAGGCCUAACACAUGCAAGUCGAGGGGUAACAGAGAGAAGCUUGCUUCUUUGCUGACGACCGGCGCACGGGUGCGUAACGCGUAUACAAUCUACCUUGUACUGGAGAAUAGCCCAGAGAAAUUUGGAUUAAUACCGAAUAAUUUUUACCAUUUUGAUGGUUUAAGGAAAGGGGCUUCGGCCUCGCUUUAAGAUGAGUCUGCGGCUGAUUAGCUAGUUGGUAAGGUAAUGGCUUACCAAGGCGACGAUCAGUAGCCGGCCUGAGAGGGUGACCGGCCACAUUGGGACUGAGACACGGCCCAA